AAGGAACAAAGAAGAAA
rnacentral:sRNA from 1 species